AUUGAACGCUGGCGGUAGGCCUAACACAUGCAAGUCGAACGGCAGCACAGUAAGAGCUUGCUCUUACGGGUGGCGAGUGGCGGACGGGUGAGGAAUACAUCGGAAUCUACUUUUUCGUGGGGGAUAACGUAGGGAAACUUACGCUAAUACCGCAUACGACCUACGGGUGAAAGCAGGGGAUCUUCGGACCUUGCGGCAUUGAAUGUGCCGAUGUCGGAUUAGCGAGUUGGCGGGGUAAAGGCCCACCAAGGCGACGAUCCGUAGCUGGUCUGAGAGGAUGAUCAGCCACACUGGAACUGAGACACGGUCCAGACUCCUACGGGAGGCAGCAGUGGGGAAUAUUGGACAAUGGGCGCAAGCCUGAUCCAGCCAUACCGCGUGGGUGAAGAAGGCCUUCGGGUUGUAAAGCCCUUUUGUUGGGAAAGAAAAGCAGCAGGUUAAUACCCCGCUGUUCUGACGGUACCCAAAGAAUAAGCACCGGCUAACUUCGUG
rnacentral:rRNA from 1 species